rnacentral:lncRNA from 1 species
AAUUAAUGAUCCAUCAGCUGUUUCUGAACUUCAGGAUAGUUGGAGGCCCAGCUUCAGGGAUCACGUCUUCUGUGAGGUCACAAAGGAAAUUACGCCUUCAAGAAUGCACUGUUCAAGCCAUAUCCUUGACUCCGAUGAAUCAAUCAGGAAAGGGCUAUUGUUAUAAAUAAGCAAAUGAGACUGGUCAUCAAGCAACUGGUCCUCAAGCCUUCUUUCAAAUUCUCACC